GACGUCGAUAUUCGACGUCAUAAACACGAACAACUUUGGUGUUUAUGACGUCGAUAUUCGACGUCAUAAACACGAAAAACUUCGGUGUUUAUGGCGUCGAUAUUCGACGUCAUAAACACGAACAACUUUGGUGUUUAUGACGUCGAUAUUCGACGUCAUAAACACGUACAACUUUGGUGUUUAUGACGUCGAAUAUCGACGUCAUGAACACGAACAACUUUGGUGUUUAUGACGUCGAUAUUCGACGUC
rnacentral:miRNA from 1 species